rnacentral:rRNA from 1 species
UACAGAGGAUGCAAGCGUUAUCCGGAAUGAUUGGGCGUAAAGCGUCUGUAGGUGGCUUUUUAAGUCCGCCGUCAAAUCCCAGGGCUCAACUCUGGACAGGCGGUGGAAACUACCAAGCUUGAGUACGGUAGGGCAGAGGGAAUUCCGGUGGAGCGGUGAAAUGCGUAGAGAUCGGAAAGAACACCAACGGCGAAGGCGGCAUCCUGGCCCUGUCCUGACGCUGAGGCGCGAGAGCGUGGGGAGCAAACCGG